GCUUGCUGGGGUGGAUGAGUGGCGAACGGGUGAGUAACACGUGAGUAACCUUCCCUUGACUCUGGGAUAAGCCCGGGAAACUGGGUCUAAUACCGGAUACGACCUCCUAUCGCAUGGUGGGGGGUGGAAAGAUUUAUCGGUUUUGGAUGGACUCGCGGCCUAUCAGCUUGUUGGUGAGGUAAUGGCUCACCAAGGCGACGACGGGUAGCCGGCCUGAGAGGGUGACCGGCCACACUGGGACUGAGACACGGCCCAGACUCCUACGGGAGGCAGCAGUGGGGAAUAUUGCACAAUGGGCGCAAGCCUGAUGCAGCGACGCCGCGUGAGGGAUGACGGCCUUCGGGUUGUAAACCUCUUUCAGUAGGGAAGAAGCUUUCGGGUGACGGUACCUGCAGAAGAAGCGCCGGCUAACUACGUGCCAGCAGCCGCGGUAAUACGUAGGGCGCGAGCGUUAUCCGGAAUUAUUGGGCGUAAAGAGCUCGUAGGCGGUUUGUCGCGUCUGCCGUGAAAGUCCGGGGCUUAACCCCGGAUCUGCGGUGGGUACGGGCAGACUAGAGUGCAGUAGGGGAGACCGGAAUUCCUGGUGUAGCGGUGAAAUGCGCAGAUAUCAGGAGGAACACCGAUGGCGAAGGCAGGUCUCUGGGCUGUUACUGACGCUGAGGAGCGAAAGCAUGGGGAGCGAACAGGAUUAGAUACCCUGGUAGUCCAUGCCGUAAACGUUGGGCACUAGGUGUGGGGGACAUUCCACGUUUUCCGCGCCGCAGCUAACGCAUUAAGUGCCCCGCCUGGGGAGUACGGCCGCAAGGCUAAAACUCAAAGGAAUUGACGGGGGCCCGCACAAGCGGCGGAGCAUGCGGAUUAAUUCGAUGCAACGCG
rnacentral:rRNA from 1 species